GACGAACGCUGGCGGCGUGCUUAACACAUGCAAGUCGAGCGGUAAGGCCCUUUCGGGGGUACGACGAGCGGCGAACGGGUGAGUAACACGUGGGUGACCUCGCCCUCCAGCUCUGGGAGUAAGCCUGGGAAACUGGGUCUAAUACUGGAUAUGACUCCACGGUGCAUGUCGUGGGGUGGAAAGCCUUGUGCGGCUGAGGAUGGGCCCGCGGCCUAUCAGC
rnacentral:rRNA from 1 species